GAUGAACGCUGGCGGCGUGCCUAAUACAUGCAAGUCGAGCGAACGGACGAGAAGCUUGCUUCUCUGAUGUUAGCGGCGGACGGGUGAGUAACACGUGGAUAACCUACCUAUCAGACUGGGAUAACUUCGGGAAACCGGAGCUAAUACCGGAUAAUAUUUUGAACCGCAUGGUUCAAAAGUGAAAGACGGUCUUGCUGUCACUUAUAGAUGGAUCCGCGCUGCAUUAGCUAGUUGGUAAGGUAACGGCUUACCAAGGCAACGAUGCAUAGCCGACCUGAGAGGGGGAUCGGCCACACUGGAACUGAGACACGGUCCAGACUCCUACGGGAGGCAGCAGUAGGGAAUCGUCCGCAAUGGGCGAAAGCCUGACGGAGCAACGCCGCGUGAGUGAUGAAGGUCUUCGGAUCGUAAAACUCUGUUAUUAGGGAAGAACAUAUGUGUAAGUAACUGUGCACAGCUUGACGGUACCUAAUCAGAAAGCCACGGCUAACUACGUG
rnacentral:rRNA from 1 species